UUGCAUCACUGGCAGGGAAGAUACCAUGAUCAAGAAGGUGGUUCACCCAUGGCGAGGCUCAGCCAUGGCACUCUGGCUGUUUUUUUUAGUUAACUAGGAAAGUCAGUUAAGAACAAUUUCUUAUUUUUACAAUUUGUAUAAUGUUUGUACCCUGUUUCGUGCUGCUACCAU
rnacentral:snRNA from 1 species